rnacentral:rRNA from 1 species
GACAGAGGGUGCAAACGUUGUUCGGCAUUACUGGGCGUACAGCGCGUGUAGGCGGCUAUGUAAGUCGGGCGUGAAAUCCCACGGCUCAACCGUGGAAGUGCACCCGAAACUGCGUAGCUAGAGUCCUGGAGAGGAAGGUGGAAUGCUUGGUGUAGAGGUGAAAUUCGUAGAUAUCAAGCGGAACACCGGUGGCGAAGGCGGCCUUCUGGACAGUGACUGACGCUGAGACGCGAAAGCGUGGGGAGCAAACAGG